rnacentral:rRNA from 1 species
UAGAGUUUGAUCCUGGCUCAGGACGAACGCUGGCGGCGUGCCUAAUACAUGCAAGUAGAACGCUGAAGAGAGGAGCUUGCUCUUCUUGGACGAGUUGCGAACGGGUGAGUAACGCGUAGGUAACCUGCCUUGUAGCGGGGGAUAACUAUUGGAAACGAUAGCUAAUACCGCAUAACAAUGGAUGACACAUGUCAUUUAUUUGAAAGGGGCAAUUGCUCCACUACAAGAUGGACCUGCGUUGUAUUAGCUAGUAGGUGAGGUAAUGGCUCACCUAGGCGACGAUACAUAGCCGACCUGAGAGGGUGAUCGGCCACACUGGGACUGAGACACGGCCCAGACUCCUACGGGAGGCAGCAGUAGGGAAUCUUCGGCAAUGGGGGCAACCCUGACCGAGCAACGCCGCGUGAGUGAAGAAGGUUUUCGGAUCGUAAAGCUCUGUUGUAAGUCAAGAACGGGUGUGAGAGUGGAAAGUUCACACUGUGACGGUAGCUUACCAGAAAGGGACGGCUAACUACGUGCCAGCAGCCGCGGUAAUACGUAGGUCCCGAGCGUUGUCCGGAUUUAUUGGGCGUAAAGCGAGCGCAGGCGGUUUGAUAAGUCUGAAGUUAAAGGCUGUGGCUCAACCAUAGUUCGCUUUGGAAACUGUCAAACUUGAGUGCAGAAGGGGAGAGUGGAAUUCCAUGUGUAGCGGUGAAAUGCGUAGAUAUAUGGAGGAACACCGGUGGCGAAAGCGGCUCUCUGGUCUGUAACUGACGCUGAGGCUCGAAAGCGUGGGGAGCGAACAGGAUUAGAUACCCUGGUAGUCCACGCCGUAAACGAUGAGUGCUAGGUGUUGGAUCCUUUCCGGGAUUCAGUGCCGCAGCUAACGCAUUAAGCACUCCGCCUGGGGAGUACGACCGCAAGGUUGAAACUCAAAGGAAUUGACGGAAGGGAAUUUCAGCAGAUAU